CCUACGGGAGGCAGCAGUGGGGGAUAUUGCACAAUGGGGGAAACCCUGAUGCAGCGACGCCGCGUGUGGGAAGACGGUCCUCUGGAUUGUAAACCACUGUCCCCAGGGACGAAGAUGACGGUACCUGGGGAGGAAGCUCCGGCUAACUACGUGCCAGCAGCCGCGGUAAUACGUAGGUGGCAAGCGUUAUCCGGAUUUAUUGGGUGUAAAGGGCGUGUAGGCGGGAGCGCAAGUCAGAUGUGAAAACUCAGGGCUCAACCCUGAGCCUGCAUUUGAAACUGUGUUUCUUGAGUGCUGGAGAGGCAAGCGGAAUUCCGUGUGUAGCGGUGAAAUGCGUAGAUAUACGGAGGAACACCAAUAGCGUAGGCAGGUUACUGGGACGGUUCUGACACUAAGGCACGAAAGCGUAGGGAGCAAACGGGAUUAGAUACCCUAGUAGUC
rnacentral:rRNA from 1 species